GGGUGAGUACGCGUGAGAAUCUACCUCCGAGAUGGGGACAACCGUUGGAAACGACGGCUAAUCCCCAAUAAGCCGAAAGGUGAAAGGGUUUCCGCUCGCAGAGGAGCUCGCGUCCGAUUAGUUAGUUGGUGGGGUAAGAGCCUACCAAGGCAGCGAUCGGUAGCUGGUCUGAGAGGAUGAGCAGCCACACUGGGACUGAGACACGGCCCAGACUCCUACGGGAGGCAGCAGUGGGGAAUUUUCCGCAAUGGGCGCAAGCCUGACGGAGCAACGCCGCGUGUGGGAAGAAGGCUCUUGGGCUGUCAACCACUUUUCUCAGGGAAGAAGUCCUGACGGUACCUGAGGAAUCAGCCUCGGCUAACUCCGUGCCAGCAGCCGCGGUAAUACGGAGGAGGCAAGCGUUAUCCGGAAUUAUUGGGCGUAAAGCGUCCGCAGGGGGCACUUCAAGUCUGCUGUCAAAGGUCGGAGCUUAACUCCGGUUCGGCAGUGGAAACUGGAGUGCUAGAGGGCGACAGGGGUAGAGGGAAUUCCCAGUGUAGCGGUGAAAUGCGUAGAGAUUGGGAAGAACACCGGUGGCGAAAGCGCCCUACUGGGUCGCACCUGACCCUCAGGGACGAAAGCUAAGGUAGCGAAAGGGAUUAGAUACCCCUGUAGUCUUAGCCGUAAACGAUGGAUACUAGGCGUGGUUUGUAUCGACCCAAGCCGUGCCGAAGCUAACGCGUUA
rnacentral:rRNA from 1 species